AGUGAACGCUGGCGGUAGGCCUAACACAUGCAAGUCGAACGGCAGCACAGUAAGAGCUUGCUCUUACGGGUGGCGAGUGGCGGACGGGUGAGGAAUACAUCGGAAUCUACUUUUUCGUGGGGGAUAACGUAGGGAAACUUACGCUAAUACCGCAUACGACCUACGGGUGAAAGCAGGGGAUCUUCGGACCUUGCGCGAUUGAAUGAGCCGAUGUCGGAUUAGCUAGUUGGCGGGGUAAAGGCCCACCAAGGCGACGAUCCGUAGCUGGUCUGAGUGGAUGAUCAGCCACACUGGAACUGAGACACGGUCCAGACUCCUACGGGAGGCAGCAGUGGGGAAUAUUGGACAAUGGGCGCAAGCCUGAUCCAGCCAUACCGCGUGGGUGAAGAGGGCCUUCGGGUUGUAAAGCCCUUUUGUUGGGAAAGAAAAGCAGCAGGUUAAUACCCCGCUGUUCUGACGUUACCCAAAGAAUAAGCACCGGCUAACUUCGUG
rnacentral:rRNA from 1 species